rnacentral:rRNA from 1 species
GAACCGUGCGAACGUUGUUCGGAAUCACUGGGCUUAAAGGGUCCGUAGGCGGCCAAGUCAGUCGGGUGUGAAAGCCCUCGGCUCAACCGAGGAAUUGCGCUCGAUACUGCUUGGCUUGAGGGAGGUAGAGGCGUGUGGAACUUCGGGUGGAGCGGUGAAAUGCGUUGAGAUCCGAAGGAACUCCAGUGGCGAAAGCGACACGCUGGGUCUCCUCUGACGCUGAGGGACGAAAGCUAGGGUAGCGAACGGGAUUAGAUACCCCGGGUAGUCCUAGCCGUAAACGAUGAGCACUGGGUCGAGGUGGUUCCCGAUGACCGUCUCGGCCGAAGCAAAAGUGGUAAGUGCUCCGCCUGGGGAGUAUGGCCGCAAGGCUG